UACAGGGGGGGCAAGCGUUGUUCGGAAUUACUGGGCGUAAAGGGCCAGUAGGCGGCCAACUAAGUCCGACGUGAAAUCCCUAGGCUUAACCUAGGAACUGCGUCGGAUACUGGAUGGCUUGAAUUCGGGAGAGGGAUGCAGAAUUCCAGGUGUAGCGGUGAAAUGCGUAGAUAUCUGGAGGAAUACCGGUGGCGAAGGCGGCAUCCUGGACCGACAUUGACGCUGAGGAGCGAAAGCCAGGGGAGCAAACGGG
rnacentral:rRNA from 1 species